rnacentral:lncRNA from 1 species
UCACUUAUGGGGCAGGAGAGGCACUUAGGGUUCACUUAUGGGGCACUGGGGGUCACUUAUGGGGCACUUAUGGGUCACUUAUGGGGCAGAGGGGUCACUUAGGGAUCACUUAUAGGGCAGAGGAGGCACUUAUGGGCCACUUAUGGGGCAGGGGAAGCACUUAUGGGUCACUUGUGGGGCAGAGGGGUCANNNNNNNNNNNNNNNNNNNNNNNNNNNNNNNNNNNNNNNNNNNNNNNNNCCCCCCCCCCCCCAGCUCGUGCCCCACUUUUUGGGUCCCGCUGUGGAGAAGCUGCGGAGCUGCGCCCGAAACCCACCGGAAACCCUGCCCCAAAAUGUCAUGGCGUGAGUGGGGGGCUGCCCCACAAGUGGGGGGCGGGACCCAUAAGUGUGGGGCUGGGACCCAUAAGUGUGGGGCUGACCCGUAAGUGUGGGGCUGGGACCCAUAGGUGGGGGGUUGGACCCAUAAGUGUGGGGCUGACUCAUAAGUGAGGGGCUGGGACCCAUAGGUGGGGGCUGGGACCCAUAAGUGUGGGUCUGGGACCCAUAGGUUGGGAGUGGGACCCAUAAGUGGGGGGUUCUGACCCAUAAGUGGGGCUGGGAGCCAUAAGUGAGGGAUGGGACCCAUAAGUGUGGGGCUGCCCCCUAAGUGUGGGCCUGGGACCCAUAAGUGGGGGCUGGGACCCCCAAGUGUGGGGCUGGGACCCAUAAGUGUGGGUCCAGCCCCAUAAGUGUGGCUCCCGCCCCACAAGUGUGGCUCCCAGCCCCAUAUGUGUGGAUCCAGCCCCAUAAGUGUGGGUCCAGCCCCAUAAGUGUGGCUCCAGCCCCACAAAUGUGCCUCCAGCCCCAUAAGUCUGGGUCCAGCCCCACAAAUGUGGGUCCCAGCCCAUAAGUGUGGGUCCAUCCCCAUAAAUGUGCCUCCAGCCCCAUAAGUGUGGCUCCAGCCCCAUAAGUCUGGGUCCAGCCCCACAAAUGUGGCUCCAGCCCCAUAAGUGUGGCUCCAGCCCCACAAAUGUGCCUCCCAGCCCCAUAAGUGUGACUCCAGCCCCACAAGUGUGGGUCCAGCCCCACAAAUGUGCCUCCAGCCCCAUAAGUGUCGCUCCAGCCCCAUAAUUGUGGGUCCAGCCCCACAAAUGUGCCUCCAGCCCCAUAAGUGUGGCUCCCAGCCCCACAAAUUUGCCUCCAGCCCCAUAAGUGUGGCUCCCACCCCAUAAGUGUGGGUCCCAGCCCCAUACGUGUGGCUCCAGCCCCACAAAUGUGGCUCCAGCCCCAUAAGUGUGG